rnacentral:rRNA from 1 species
CCUACGGGGCGCAGCAGUGGGGAAUAUUGCACAAUGGGGGAAACCCUGAUGCAGCGACGCCGCGUGAGUGAAGAAGCGUUUCGGCGCGUAAAGCUCUGUCAGCGGGGAAGAAACACGGUUCGCGAGAGCCGCGGACGGUACCCGACCAAGAAGCCCCGGCUAACUACGUGCCAGCAGCCGCGGUAAUACGUAGGGGGCAAGCGUUAUCCGGAUUCACUGGGUGUAAAGGGAGCGUAGACGGCGAGACAAGUCUGGAGUGAAAGGCCGGGGCCCAACCCCGGGACUGCUCUGGAAACUGCCUGGCU